rnacentral:rRNA from 1 species
GUGGGGAAUAUUGGACAAUGGGGGCAACCCUGAUCCAGCCAUGCCGCGUGAGUGAUGAAGGCCUUCGGGUUGUAAAGCUCUUUUGGUGGGGACGAUGAUGACGGUACCCACAGAAUAAGCUCCGGCUAACUUCGUGCCAGCAGCCGCGGUAAUACGAAGGGAGCUAGCGUUGUUCGGAAUUACUGGGCGUAAAGGGCGCGUAGGCGGUCAGGCAAGUCAGGUGUGAAAGCCCUGGGCUCAACCCGGGAAUUGCGCUUGAUACUACUUGGCUUGAAUUCGGGAGAGGUUGGUGGAAUUCCCAGUGUAGAGGUGAAAUUCGUAGAGAUUGGGAAGAACACCCGUGGCGAAGGCGGCCAACUGGACCGACAUUGACGCUGAGGCGCGAAAGCGUGGGGAGCAAACAGGAUUAGAAACCCUGGUAGUCC